GUCCUUGUAGCUCAAUUGGAAAGAGCGUCAGCCUCCGGAGCUGAAGGUUGUGCGUUCGAGCCGCACCAAGGACA
rnacentral:tRNA from 1 species